rnacentral:tRNA from 1 species
GCCCGCAUAGCUCAGUUGGUAGAGCGCGAGUUUUGUAAACUCGAUGUCGCUGGUUCAAUCCCGGCUGCGGGCUCCA